AUUGAACGCUGGCGGCAUGCCUUACACAUGCAAGUCGAACGGUAACAGGUCUUCGGAUGCUGACGAGUGGCGAACGGGCGAGUAAUACAUCGGAACGUGCCCGAUCGUGGGGGAUAACGGAGCGAAAGCUUUGCUAAUACCGCAUACGAUCUACGGAUGAAAGCAGGGGACCGCAAGGCCUUGCGCGGACGGAGCGGCCGAUGGCAGAUUAGGUCGUUGGUGGGAUAAAAGCUUACCAAGCCGACGAUCUGUAGCUGGUCUGAGAGGACGACCAGCCACACUGGGACUGAGACACGGCCCAGACUCCUACGGGAGGCAGCAGUGGGGAAUGUUGGACAAUGGGCGAAAGCCUGAUCCAGCCAUGCCGCGUGCAGGAUGAAGGCCUUCGGGUUGUAAACUGCUUUUGUACGGAACGAAAAGACUCUUUCUAAUAAAGAGGGUCCAUGACGGUACCGUAAGAAUAAGCACCGGCUAACUACGUG
rnacentral:rRNA from 1 species